rnacentral:rRNA from 1 species
UACGUAGGCAGCAAGCGUUGUUCGGAGUUACUGGGCGUAAAGGGUGUGUAGGCGGUUGUUUAAGUUUGGUGUGAAAUCUCCCGGCUCAACUGGGAGGGUGCGCCGAAUACUGAAUGACUUGGAGUGCGGGAGAGGAGAGUGGAAUUCCUGGUGUAGCGGUGAAAUGCGUAGAUAUCAGGAGGAACACCGGUGGUGUAGACGGCUCUCUGGACCGUAACUGACGCCGAGACACGAAAGCGUGGGUAGCAAACAGG